UAGGGAAUCUUCCGCAAUGGACGAAAGUCUGACGGAGCAACGCCGCGUGAGUGAAGAAGGAUUUCGGUUCGUAAAACUCUGUUGUUAGGGAAGAAAAAAUGUAUAGUAACUAUAUACAAAAGAGACGGUACCUAACCAGAAAGCCACGGCUAACUACGUGCCAGCAGCCGCGGUAAUACGUAGGUGGCAAGCGUUGUCCGGAAUUAUUGGGCGUAAAGCGCGCGCAGGUGGUUUAGAAAGUCUGAUGUGAAAGCCCACGGCUCAACCGUGGAGGGUCAUUGGAAACUAAUAAACUUGAGUGCAGGAGAGAAAAGUGGAAUUCCUAGUGUAGCGGUGAAAUGCGUAGAGAUUAGGAGGAAAACCGGUGGCGAAAGCGGCUUUUUGGCCUGCAACUGACCCUGAGGCGCGAAAGCGUGGGGAGCAAACAGG
rnacentral:rRNA from 1 species